CCUACGGGCGGCUGCAGUGGGGAAUAUUGCACAAUGGGGGAAACCCUGAUGCAGCGACGCCGCGUGAGUGAAGAAGUAUUUCGGUACGUAAAGCUCUAUCAGCAGGGAAGAAAAUGACGGUACCUGAUUAAGAAGCCCCGGCUAACUACGUGCCAGCAGCCGCGGUAAUACGUAGGGGGCAAGCGUUAUCCGGAUUUACUGGGUGUAAAGGGAGCGUAGACGGCAGCACAAGUCUGGAGUGAAAUGCCAGGGCUUAACCCCGGAACUGCUUUGGAAACUGUGCAGCUAGAGUGCAGGAGAGGUAAGUGGAAUUCCUAGUGUAGCGGUGAAAUGCGUAGAUAUUAGGAGGAACACCAGUGGCGAAGGCGGCUUACUGGACUGUAACUGACGUUGAGGCUCGAAAGCGUGGGGAGCAAACAGGAUUAGAUACCCCGGUAGUC
rnacentral:rRNA from 1 species